rnacentral:lncRNA from 1 species
GAAAAUCAUUUCAAUUGCUAUGCAUGAGCUAAUACAGUCCAAUCUGCACGUCCAUUCUACUUACAUCAUGCAUUGGCUUGCAAUUCCAAGUGGAAUUGGGCCCUCCAUGCGCCUGUACAGGCCCAUGCAUGGAGGCCCUUUCCAUUCAUGCAAGUUUUGGUUCAUGCAUUCAGCAUUGCUUCUCCUAUAAAUACAAUGCCUU